UCACUUGUUACUUGAGAGAAGAGACCGACACCCACCUUACUACAACCUCCUUUCAGGUAGUUGUAGAAGGCAAUGAGGUCUCCCCAGAGCCUCCUUUCCUCCAGGCUAAACAACCCCAGUUCCCUCAGCCACUCCUCAC